AUGAACUCAGUGAUGAUGACGACUGUGGUUGGCACCUCUGAUUCUCAGAUGCUUUCUCUAAAGGAUAUUGUUCAUCCAUUCCUUUGCUGUCCAGUGGAAACCCUUCACAGCGGGAGACCACUGCAAAUCACACCUGCUUCUUGCUCCAGUAACCGCUGUAAUGCUAGCGAUGACCACAGAUUUGUGGGAGGAGGAUCGUGCUCUCCAUCCCGGCCUUCACAUCGGUGCGGUGGGACGAGAUGGGCUCAGCCAGCAGAACAGGUCACGGCUGCAGGAAGGGGUGAUCCUGUAUCUGCCACAUCUCACUCUGUUUCCUGCUGCUUCUCUUGUGCCAGCUCCGAUGCCUCAGUGAGCUGGUCAGAAAGGAAACCCAGCCAAAAAAACCCACUGCAAGGGGCAGUUUCACUCCUACUUGUGUUACUCUACCUUUUGUUGUCUCUGGUGCUUGCUAGACCCUGCUGUAAGCCAGAUCAAUUCACCAGUCCAGCAGAAGACCAGACUAAAUGGCUGGGUUUCUGCCAAGUUAGUGCAUUGAAUCAGCUCAGCAGAAUCUGAGAGGCCCCAGGAGUGAACAGGGGGAAAACGCCUUGUGUGAGGAAGGAAGGUAGAAGGAGCGAGAUGGGAAGAGGGAGCGAGAAGUCCUCUUUUUGACAGAUUGACUCAGCUGUCUGGUAUAACUUGACUUCAAAUAUGUGGUUUCACACUAUCCCUAAUGCAGUGAACUACAGACAGUCCCCCUUCUCACGCCCUCAGGUACAGGUGGGUUCCUGUCCCCUUUCUCAUGCCAGACCUACACAGCUGCGUGACUGGGUCGCACCAGUCACUGCUCACUAAGGAACUAUUCGCACUUUUGAUCAGCUCAUCUUCCAUGAGGUCAUGAUGUGAGCUUAGGGAGCAGUGGUGUGUGGCAGAGGAGGAGGGCAGAAGCCCUCUUUAGCAGCGAUGCAAAUACCAAGUGGUGUAACCCUGAGAUGAAACUACACCCUAAAUAACCACUGUGGAGGCAGGCCUUGGUGGAGCUGGGCUGUAGGAAUGAACUCUGAUUUAAAUGGACAUCACAGGUGUCACCGGUCUUAUUUAACACUGUACCUAAAUUUCCUCUGAAAUGCAAAUAUAAGCGUUGCUUAUAAAAGACAACCAAAACUACAUUUUCAGGUGCUCUGAAUUCAGAAGCAAAGCCUCAGGGAGCAGCAAGGGUGGCACUGCCCCCUCAGGGUGGGGGAGCCAAGGGCCAAGCGGUGACCCCACCAACGGGGCACAGCCCCACGGUGCCAGAGGCAGGUGAACAGAGCAGGGCAGCUACCGCAGCGGGGCCUGUUGGUGGUCCGGGGGUCAUCAGACAGGACAGGUCCAAGGCUGGUCCAGGAGCUCCCAACAUGCAGGUGGAUGCAGCUGAGGUGUAGCUCAGGAAGAACUGAACACCCAAGCCCAUCAGAGGGUGAGGGUGGAGGCCUGCAUUGAGGCCAUCAUAGCAAUUAAGGUCUAGUUGUGCACUCAUCGCCCUGACACGAAGCAGUGGAAUCAAAAUAGCAUCUGAAAAAGACUUUACUCAUCUAAGCGUGGUACAAGCAUCCAGACUCUUGCUUGAUACAUCCUUGAACUGCUUAUCAGCAUAUACCUGACAAAAUACAGGCAUAUAAUAUGCCCAGAUUUCCUCACAUUCUUCCUGAGGUGCAGGGUGUAUUUCAGGAUAUUAAGGGUGCAAAGAGUUAGCAAUUGGUAGUGCUAAGACAGCAUCAGACAGAACUCCAGGCAAUGAGUUCUAAUGAAAAAAUUCAAUUUAAUUUAAAAAAAGAAAUCAAUCUAAAUUACUUCCAAAUACGUAGCAUCUAUAAUCUUUCAGCAAAAGAAAAAUACCCGGUUGAGUCAGGGAGGGCAGCUGUUUAAAUGAGGAUGCACGACUUCACUAAUUACUAUACUCAGGAUGAAAGCAGAUUUUUUUCCCCNGACAAACUACAUGUGUGGCACCAUGGAAAGCUAGUUUAUCAGAUCUACUUUUUCUUCUCUCCUUUUCUCCUCUCUGUCCUGCUUCCCGUGCCCUCCAAAAUUUUUUUAGGUGGUUUUCAUGGCAUUGUCGUAUGUUUAAUGGUAUACAUGACUUUGAAAAACUGUAUGGCUAAAGAAUACCUGUGCCAUACUGCUCAAAAUAAAUAUCUUGCAGGGAGGAAUAAAUACA
rnacentral:lncRNA from 1 species